CAGAGCCGUCGCUCCCCCGCUCCGGUGCCUCCUCCCGGUCCCUCCCCCGCCCCCGACCGUUUUUCUAUAAAUGCCGGGAACGAGCGGGAGUCGUGACACUUCGUGAGAUUUGCUUAUCAAUUCACAAGAGGACGGUUGCAAGAAGGAUUUUUGGAAGCCCUUUUGCCUGUGCACAACAGGCUUGGAGCCAAAAAACCACUGGCCAUUCAAACAGACUUUGCUUGUUUAAUGCUACAGCAUUAAUUAAACCAGUGUUUCAACUUCCAGAGCCAUUGCACGUUUUGUAACAGGGCAGAUGCCAGAAGAAUCGAGCCUGAAUAAACUCCGUCCUUCACCUAGGAAGGUGGUGCUGUCUCCAGAAACAAAUGUGCCUUUUGAAGGAUGAACAGCUGCUGGCAUCAGACAGCUGCUGGCUCGGUUCUUAAAUAUGGUUAGUUCCCAGGUAACACUGAAUGCUUGGACUUUCUGUUCUUGAAGUUAAAUGCAACCUUUGAAAUGGGUGAGUGCCGCUGCCCCACUGGGCUCCCAGGCAGGAGCUCUUCGCUGUGACCAGAGCAGAGAGAUGGAAUGCUGGACUUGACUCACUGCAAGGCUGCAGGGCUGGCAUGUCUCCUUGAGCAGAGGGUGUUUGAAGUGCCAGUUGGGGUAGUUACAAUGACUGUGUGAGGCGGCACAGGCAGGACACAGGAACAACCACAAAACCAUGCAUUAAAUGCAAACAGUAAAUUUAUUUUUGUUACCUCGCCAACUGGGGGAUCCCUGAAGCAGCACCCGGGCACAGGCACAUGAGCAGGGACACAGGCACUGCUGAGCUCAGCCCAUGCUAGGGGAUUGCCGACCCUGCUGUUUUCACCAGUUUAUCAGGGAUUCGUGCAGGCACAAUGUACCACUGUGCUUUGAUACUUCCCACAGCAGGACAGGAAUCUCAAGCAUGUUCGAUAGGGUGCCUCUUAAGUCUAUCACAGGCCUGUGUUACCUAAACACACAUGUUCUACUUGUCAAGCAUGCAAGGAUAAACAGCAAUUAGUAUAAUAUAUGUAUACAUCUGCACGCCAGCUGCAGGUCACUUGAGCGUGUUUAUAAUCCUCCUUGCCAAUCGUCCGUUAUUAUCCCACGUUCCACCCCCUCACUCAAGGGAGCACUUCCACUGGGUCUGGCGAAGCUGGAGGUGUCCAUUUGGGCUUGCAGGGUGCAGGGCAGGGUAAUGUGUAGAGGCAUGUAAUGAACACAUAUAGAAAAAGGAAUAAACUUAUCCCUACAAUAAUGCUUUGAAUCAAGUGUCCCACCCAUCCUGUCAGGGAAUUAAACAGCUCAGCCAGCCAGGCACCACCAGUAGAUUGUUUCAUUUGAUGUGUUAAAAUCCUGGAAGUGUUGAAUGUCAUCCUCUAUGCUGGCUGAUUAAUCAGUUACAUUGAAGCAACACAUGCCUUCAAGAUCGUAGCAGCGUUUAUGGUGUAGAAGGAGAGAGUCCACCGCCAGUUGAUUUCGUAAUGUUCCCGGGAAUACAGCCAUUACCUACUCAGAAAAAAUAGCAAUGAGGAACAUUAAUGUCAAAAGCACUUAACAUAGUAUAAUUCUGUAAUACAGCUACUGGAGUUUGCAAGCCAAUAAAACGUUGUCAAAAGAUCUGCAGCUGUUAAUCGAUACAAUAGAGAAGGCAGAUGAGUUACAGUAGAGGCCAACCAAAUCCAAGUAUUUACAUGUUGAUCUUGUGGAAACGCAUCCAGGGCACGUGCUUGUAGUACAAGACUACAAACCAUGAUAAGCCAACCUGUGAUAAGGAAGGAAAACAGGAGUGUCAUCUCCUUCCAGUAAUACAUAAAUAACGCUGUUGCUCCAGCUUCUUCAGCUACUAUUACUCUGGGUUUGAUAACCUGAUAUGGGGUAAUUGCCCACACAGAUUGAAGAACUAUGGCUUGUGCUUUUUCAGAUUGAACUUCAAUUCAAUGUUGGAUUUGCAACACCAAUAACACUGUUCCAAUGCUAUGUAUCUUCUCUAGAUAAGGCACAGGUAUUCAUCGAAGAUACUUGAAAUACAAGAGCUCAAGACAAACCAGACAAUUGUUUCAUCCCUCCAGCUGGACACCACCAGAGCCUCUUGGACUCCCCUGGAGCGUCACCCAGGUUAUUGGGGCCUGGAGGUGGCAUUUUGUCAUUCUGAAGAUGACAAAACCAGUGCAGGGUGGCUGUCCUCAGCUAGCUCUCGCCUCAGCUACCAAACGAGUGAGUGAAGAUGAAGCCAGACCCACGCUGGCAGUGCACAGAGAAUACUAACAAGUCAUCAAAGAAGGUAGAUGCCCCAUCCCUGCAAACAUUCAAGAUGGAGAGACAGCUCUUUAAGAGAAGCCUUCAGUCCUGACAGGAAGUAGUUUUGGCAAGAUCAGGCAAUAAACAAUUAAAAAACCCAAUAAAACCCAAUUUAAAA